UACGAAGGGGGGCUAGCGUUGCUCGGAAUUACUGGGCGUAAAGCGCACGUAGGCGGCUCUUUAAGUCGGAGGUGAAAUCCUGGAGCUCAACUCCAGAACUGCCUUCGAUACUGAAGAGCUCGAGUCCGGGAGAGGUGAGUGGAACUGCGAGUGUAGAGGUGAAAUUCGUAGAUAUUCGCAAGAACACCAGUGGCGAAGGCGGCUCACUGGCCCGGUACUGACGCUGAGGUGCGAAAGCGUGGGGAGCAAACAGGG
rnacentral:rRNA from 1 species